GGAGGCGUAGUUGAGAUGGUAGAGCGCUCGCUUAGCAUGAGAGAGGAACGGGGAUCGAUACACCGCGUCUCCA